GUAAGAAUGUCAACAAAAAAAAGGAAAAGUGCAUAGAAAAGGUUCUGUUCAUAGGCUUGAGGGAGAGUGUUGAAUCCUUUUUCUCCCUUUGUGUUUCUUUUUUCAUAUUAUUGUUGUUUUUUUUGUUAGAUACGCUAAUGGGCCACAUUAGAACGACAUUAGAUCCCAUCCAUGUAAAGAACUGUACGUUUAAGGAGUGGUUGUUCAGCGUUAUGUUGGUCGUAUUGAUAGCUCUAUGAUCACUCAUUCUUGUAACAAAAAUGCCAUUCUGGCCUCAUCUUCUAUUUUGUCCCCUCCCCAUUCCCUUUUCCCUUCCUGCUUCUCUUUGCAACACAAUGCAAUUUCAUAUUCCUGUAAAAGAAUAGUCUGAAGGUAACUCGGAUCUAAGGCUCUGAGCACUAUUCCUUUUAGGAUGUGUAAAAUCUGGUUGAUGAUUCUUUUACAAUCAUCAUAUCAUAUUUAUACAGAUCUUGAGCAAAUGCAAAGUCUACUUCAUUUUUGAACUAAACCCAAAAUUAAGGUUACUUUUUCCUCCAAUUCACUCCCCCCCCCCCCUCCUCCUUAACUUGACCUUCUCCUCCCUUGCAAGGUCUAUUCUUCUUUCUCAAAGGUCCCUGUUACAUUAUUUUUUUUUUAUUUUUUUUGCUAAAGAAAAAGGAGAAGGGGGGAGGAAGGGACAAGCCCACCCCCGCGUAGCAGCCCCGACCACUGGGCCCCCACCCCGCCAGGAAAAUGUUCGAUGCGGGUAGACCGAGUCGUGUGUUGGGCACCCCGACCUAUUUUACUCAUACCCUCCCCACCCGUGGGCCGGCUCAGUUACCCGACCCGACCCUCCGUGUGAGUACGUCACACCUGGCACCACCCAGGCUACCAGCCAACCAGUAGCGCUUCCAGACCCCGUGUCCAGGCAUGGGGCAUCCGGUCCCCGAAUUUAAUCGACGCCCGCGCGUUUCGAACCUGGAACCACUUGGUUGGAAGCAAACGCUCCGUUCCAACUGGGCUACCACCUUGGUGGUGUCCCUGUUACAUUAUCCUCCAUUUUCUUUAUACCUAUACUACUGUUGCACAAUGGUUUAUGAGCAAGAAGUCAAUGAUAGAAGUGUUAGGAAGUGAAUGGUGUUUUUUAAACAUGUUCUCAAAAAAAUAAAAUAAAAUAAAUAAGCUCAUAUUUAGUAUAAUUGGUUAUGUUUUAAGUAUUGGCAACACUGAAACCUGUCAUGUACUUACAUGUCCAUGACUGAUACUGUCAGACACAUUUGGAGAACCCCAACAUAGUGGGGUAUCAUAUGAUGCUGCUAAGGCCCAAAGGAUGCACACGUUCUGUAUAAUAAUAUUAUGUGAUGUUGAUUAUAAAUUAAGUGUAAGAAUUCUGUUGUUUGAUGUUUUAUAAUAAGCAAAUUGCUUUUAUUAAUAUUUGUAACAUUAAUUUGGUUGCAGGAUAUUAACAUUUUUGUCAAACUUCUUUUCAUUUGCAACACAAAGGAUAUAGCUUGAAACAAUGAAUUGUGGAAAAUGGAUUCAUAAAUAUGUUCCCAGAUGGGAUAACCUGCGUUGGUUUACACAUGCAAAACUGGUCCAGCCUAAAUGAUAGACAUGCUUAUUUAUAUGCGAAUCAGAAUCCUAAAUGGAUGAUAGUUACUGAUGAAUCAUGCAUCAUUUUCAUUACCUCUCAUGUCAGGGAACUGCCAGGGAUCAUUAUUCUGCAAUGUUUAAGAGCCUAGGCAUGUUUCACAACCAGCAAACUGUAUAGUCUACAGGAAGCACAAUAAAUUAAAACUCAGCCUUCUCAGUUGCCUAGUGUCAUAAACCAUCUAAUCAAUCAGUACUGCAGCAGGCAGCAAUAUGUGCCAUUUUUAGCCUAAAUUAUUUACCCUUGGGGUGUCUUCUGUCCAACCUUGGCUUUUCUAGAAACAGUUUCUGAUUGUUUUUCUUUAGGUGUGAGACAAAGUUUUACAUGGUAUAUAAAUAAAGACAAAAUUCUUCUGGACAUACCUCUUUCUUGUGUGAAAGAAAAAGCACCAUUUUAUUAUUUUCUAUUGUUUAUCAAAAAUAAUACUCGAAAAAGGGGGAAAAACUCUUUUUUAUCACAAAGUCACAGCUGCCUGUUCUGAAAGGCUUUAGCUCUUUAUUAAUGUAUAAAAAGGAGCCCUUGUGUCACUCAAUCAUUGACUUACCUGUUGGAGAGCAUUUUACCAUUUGGUUUUAAUUACAAGCCAAGAGAUGUAUACACGAUAAGCACUUAAACUGGACUCUAAUGUGAUUAUUUAUUGCUAUGCACGUUAGCUUGUUUAUCUUCUCUUAUUAUCUCAUGCUGCAGGUUAUCUGGCAGCAUGCCCCAAAGCACUCAGAAUUGAUGCUUUACUUCACUGCAUGAUUGUAACAGGUUCAACUACACAUAUUAUGACAAGAAGCAAGGUCCUAUCUACAAGUCCAUUGAGGCCCUGGAUCGUAUGGGUAUGGAAAUCAUUGAGACUGGGGAUCCAGAUGCAUUCAAACAAUAUCUGCAGGAAUAUGAUAACACCAUCUGUGGACGCCAUCCCAUCAGUGUUUUCCUCCAUGUAAGAGUGGCUUGUUUCUUAUAUUCAUCAAGUCUUAUCAACUCUAAUAUUUGCUUUAGAAUCUGUAAAGCCCUCUCCCUUUUUUACCCCUUUUUGUCUUUGCCAGAUGCUGAGGAACUGCUCGACAAAGAUUAGUAUCGGUUUCGUCCGAUACGAACAAUCAAGCCAGUGCAAAACCAUGCGAGAGAGCAGUGUUAGCUACGCAUCAGCAGCUGCAAAGGUAGAUAGCUGAUGCGGUUGAACCUUUGCAUCUUGAUUCAGUAGACUGUCAGUUGUGUUUAGAAGCAGCUCCACAAUUGCCUGGAAGUUCAUAAAAGCCGCAGUUCUUUACUGUCCGGUUCUCAUGUUGCAAGGCAGAACACAGAGCCCUAAUUCAAAUUAACAAAAAGCUCCCAGAUCAUGUGUAGUUUAUGGAGCAAAUUCUGUUUGCUAUGAUGUGAGUUAUGUUGUCAAGAUCAUGGUACUCAUUGUCUGCACAACCUGGCUCUCUACUUGGAGCCACCUAUUGAACAUUAUAUUCGAUUUACCUCUCCAUGCCAGUCCCUGCUUCUUUUAUUCUCCUCCUUUUGGUUGAUAUGUUUGUGCCAGUCCCUGCCGUUACCAUUCCUCCCGAAGCUGGAGUUGCCAUUGUAACUUCUUAGGGGCCGACCUCUUAUAUCGAGUCAUUCAUGAUCCAUUUCUGUCGAAGUAUGGGGAUCUUUAGCUAGAAUUUGGAAGCAAUAGAACACCAGCUAAGGGCAUCUUUGUGAUGCAGGCAGCAAAAUGGGCAGGAUUUGUGGUGCAUCAGGGCGAGCCUGGCACGGCUUAUCCAACUUACAAGCAAUUGAGGCAUCUGGGCCUGCAGUAUAUCACAGAGUAGGCGACGUUGUAUCAUGUGUUUGUUCCAAUUCGCCAGUUAAAAUAUACGCCUAUAACUGAAGUAAUUCAAAUAAAUAUAUGAAAACGAGUGUGUUCUGCAAUGGCUAGCAUCGCCAAUCUCCUGAUGAAAUUAGUUUGGUUGGUGUUCAAUCACUCUAGAUAAGAGCGGCGGGGAUGAAGCAAGAGUAGUUGAUAGGGGACAAGUCAAAGAGAUGACAACAAAGAAAAAAGAAGUAAAGAUUCAUUCGUAUUCCUGUGCUGCUGUAGCGGGUUCGGCUUGGACAGGGGAGGUUAUGAGUGCGGGGAGAGUUUCAAGGGGGGAAGGACAAAGAUGGAGGAAGAGUUUCAAAAGGGCAAAGACACAGAGAGAAAGAGACCAAGAAAAAAGCCGCUGACUGUGCUAAUAGGGCAAGACUCGAGAGGUGCCAGUUGCCGAUUCAAAAUACGAGGCUAUGGAUACAGUGACGUCUGGUCUAAAAGCAAGAAAAGAUGAGCUAAUAGUUGCAUCAAUACAGUAACUAUAAACAUAAUUCUUUCAUGCAAAUCAAUCACUAGAAGAAGAAGUUUUGGCUUAUUUGGAAACUCCAGCAAUUUAUGUUAAGAGUUCGAUAGCUUAGCUUGUGCUAGAUGUGGUCUUCUCAACUCUAUGAACUGGCCCACGAGGCACUAACAUCUUCCUCCUCUAUGCCAGGUCCCUUUCCCACUUUCGCAUGCAGUCAGGCCACUACAGAAUCAGACUGAUGCCACUUUACCUGCUCCUGAAAGAAUCCUUCUCAUGUUUUACUUUUUCCGAGCCUACUUGCGCCCACCAUGAGAGGUAACGGCCGUUAAAACCUUAUCUGAAAGCCACCAGUAUAGUAAAAUUUCAGAGGCUCACUUAACGUUAAUGAUCCGUCGAGCUUUUGAAGUCGUUAUCCCGUUACAUUAUUAUAAAUGUGCCCGAGGGGUGGCAAUUAUUGAUCGUCUUGAGUAUGGCAUGUACCGUGCAUGUCAGAAAUAUUAUGGAUGGUUGUGAUUUUUCAGUAUAUUUUUAAAUUAUUUUUUUAUUGAUUAUGUAACUUGAUGAUUAAAUACAUUUUUAAUUUUUUUGUAGGUGUAAUUCCAAUCUUUCUCAACUGAAUAACAUCCAUACGGAUAAUUGUGUCCUGAGACCUUUUAGGUUUGAUAUAACAUAGAUUAUAAUGAAAGCACGACAAUGCAUUGAAUCUAGAAUGCAAUGCUUGCUGUUGCAAUAUUUACUAUUAGUUGUCACGGUGGGCUAGUAGAUGGCAUGACUGACAUUAAUAGAUAAGAUUCACUAUUUAGAAAUCAUAACAUGAUAAUUUAGUUUGGAGAUAUAUAAAUAGAGUUUAUCUCUUGUGUACAAAAUUUUUUACUUUUUUCUGGAAUGAUUUUGCUUUAUUUAGAUAAUCAAAAAAAUUAGAAAUUAUAACGGCAAUUGAUUUCAAUUUUGAAGCCUCGAUUAAUUUCCUAGCCACAGGAUUGAAAAAUCCUUACUCAGAGGCAGAUUUGCAUAUCCUUAAAAUAGGGCAGCUUUAUAAUUUAAUAAAAUUACGUAUCCAAAAAUAGUUUAACUGCAAUAAUAAUAAUAAUAAUAAUAAUAAUAAUAAUAAUAGCUGCAAUGGUAAUAGAUAUAAAAAAUAAUAGGUACUGUAAGAAGUUCAAAUUAUGAUCAUCCAUCAAACAAAAAUGGUUAAGGUAACAUGGGGUAAAUGGUGGUUGUAAUGGGCGGUCCAGUGUGCAUGUAAAGCAUAAUUAGGUGCUUAACAUAUUGCUUAUAGCAUUAAAUAAUUUCAUAUUUCUUGUCAUCCAACACAUAAGCAAUAAAUAACAACUAAACGGAUCUAACUAGUCAGUGUUGUGACAUAAUAAGUGAUACGGUCAAGAGAGAAAACAUAGACUUCCUUUCCACUGUCUAAUGAAUACGCAACAUUUUAAAAAUAUGUGCAGAAAAUGGUAAAAAAAUUAUUAAAUUUAUUUAGUUAGUAGGCAAAAAUAAUACCAUAAUAUCUGAAUGAUCAUUUUUACCAGCAAAUUAUAUCCAAGCAUAUACCAAUUAAUAUAGCCAGUUCAUUUUUCGAGAUGAAUACAUGACAAAUAAAGUUCAUAAAAAAAGAUAAAUUGCACAGUUACAUGAUGCAUGAUGAAUGGGAACCAUAAGAAGAAAAAGAUAAGGUGAUAUAUAUAUAUAUAUAUAGUGCAAGAUAUAAUUUUGUUACUCUAUCCAAUAUACCAUCAUCAUCAUUAUUGUUUAUCAUGAUGGAAUGGUGUAUAGUGACUGUAACAGUAUUUCAUUUUAUUUUUUUCAAAAAAUGUCCCAUCCAACGGGUGGAAGGAACAUGGCAAAUAAUGCAGUCCAAGACGUUAGCGCUAAAGUCCGUAGCAGCCUCCAUGUGCAUGCGAAACCACGGUGCUUUCCGCUUGCAAAAAAUAUUUGCUCGUAACGUGAUUCAAGUGCCUGGAAAUCGACCAGUAUCAUAUUCUUAUGGCCUCAUUUUUUUGGUACUUUUAAUUCAUAUGCGUACAGGGGGACCGUAAAAUAAUUUUUUGUGAUUAUGAUAUAAAAAAUGGCUGUUUGCGGGAUGCCGACACCCAUUUCAGCUGUCUCGGAUGAGGAGGAUACGAGAAAAACUUUGGGUCGGGUUAACGAGACGUUGAAAGAUUUCACGACGGCAAACGUUUGCAAAUCUUGGAGAAAUCGGAGAGAAUCCUGUCGGUUGUAUCUUGAUAUCUUUAUAUAUCUCGUGAUGUGAUGGCUGCUUGGCAUUUGUCGCCUGGUACACUGAACUGCUUUCAAAUUAUUAAAUACAACGAACAGCAUCCGAUGGGGAGUAUUUUUAGGCCACUGUCGGCUUCCGUAGGGCUCGCAUGGGUUGCAUUUGGAUUGGACGAAAACAACAUUCAAAUUGAGCCCUUCUACAGACCUGGAUGCAAUCUUAUGUUUCAAUUAUUUAUAUAAGUUGAUAAAUAUGGUUCACUUUUAAUUGAUGCACUUCUCUUUUAUUUUUUUGAAAAAUGGUAAUUGAACCAAGAGAAACGGAUUUACUAAAUAUUAUAUGUAAAAUAAAAGAUAUAGUUAAAAUGUUUACAUUGUCAAUGAGUAAUAUUUUGUAACCAAAAUAAAUAAUAAUAUUUAGCACAUGCAAUGUAUGUGCAAAUAAAAACUCAACCUUGUACUACUUAGAAGAUAUUUAAAGCUUAAAAAUAUGAGCAAUUUAUAUUGUUUGAAUAUUAUAAAAUUUAUAACUAAUUAGGGCCGUUUAAUUUAGGUGGAGAUGAGUGGUGUAGAGAGAGCAAACUCACUAGUCGUUAGUUGAGAGAGAACAAACAAAAACUUUAGUAAUAAUGUCAUCAAUUUGCACGGAAAAACUUUUUUGUAGCUUGUAAUUGUAAGCAGGCUGAAAGAAAUUCUUGCAACUAAGCCUCUAUACAAUUUAUUGCCGGGCAGAUUUGUUGACCAUGCCUAAUCUACUACAAGAGACUUUGCAUACAUAUUAGGCUAGCGGGAUAUUGCAAUUGCAGCAGAAACAAAUAGGGAAAAAGAAGUUAUAUAGGACACUUCUUAUUUUCUUCCAUUACAUGAUUGUCCAUUUAGAUGGAUCCCUGCAAUAGAUUCUCAUUUGAAAAUGUUUGGUGAUUAGAUGGGAUAAGACAAAAUGGACACUAGAGAUGAGAAGAUUACAACAUCAACUUCUCAUAGCAAGUCAAAAAUGUCUUCUGCUACUAGUGAAAAAGCAUGCAUGUUUAUAGUAAAAACUUAGCUCUAGAAAGGUAAUUUCUAAGGAAUUUUAAGGACUUUUUUGAAAAAAAGGAAGAAAAGUAAUUAUGAAUGGCAUAUAAUUUCUCUUUUCAAUGGUCAAUAUUUAUUUUUUAAUAAAAAUAAUGGAGGAUACUGUGACUAUUAGAGGAAUAGACCCAUUUGGAUUUAUUGCAUGUGAGAUGUGGGUUAGGUCCUUAGCAAGACUAUUGGGGCAUGUCAAUCACCACCACAUGAUUUACAAGCACACUUGGGACAAAUACCGACAUUUCAUCCUUGGCGUCUCCAAUUUGGCACCUCUUAGAUGUAUCCCACAUGCUAAUGUUAGUUGUACGAGUUUUCCAUUAAAGCCAAUUAUUACCCAAUUAUUAAAAGACUCUUUUGUUAGCUUCCUAAUCCUCCUAGGAUAAAUCAUAUGAAUCAUUAAAUAAGCUCUAAUUUAGUAAACAUCAAAUAUCUUUAAGUUCUAUACUCUACAAAAAAAAAAAAUCCCUCUCCUUCAAAGUCAAAAAGAAAAAAAAUGUUUGACUGCUAAUUAAAUGUCAACAUGCUAAAUAUUACUAGCUAAAUAAAAUAUUUAAGAUAAAAACAAUACUUUAUUUAUUAGGCAGUGAAAACUAGACAAAGACCUCCACUUCUGGUUAUGCAAUGCCUUCUAAAGCAUCAUAAGAACCAUUAGGUAAUUGCGCAUUAUCUUUAUGUGCAACAAGUUAUGUAAACUACUAUUAACAGCACUUUAGAUCCCAUCACAAGGACUUAGAAGCCUAAGAGAUAGGCCCCCAACUGACAGUCUCCUGCAGUACAAAAAGAAGGAAAAGCAGCUCUUUCUUCCUUCCACAAAAGGCAAUGAGCAGCUCAGCCACCAAAGAUUUUUUUUUUUCUUCCCCCUCACCCUUCCCUUCCCUCUUGGGAGCUGACAGGAUUCUCCCACAUAACUUCUAUCCCAUUGGUGGCUCCAGGAAUCCUCAAACAUCAACCCACUUCUACCUCUCCAAAUACCCACUCUCCACACAAGCCCGUAGAGAGGUUUACUUAUUCUCACACAGCUUAAAAUAAUGAUGUUAUAAAAUGGUUUUGUUCACCCCAUUACAUUAUUGAAAUAAAUAAACCGAGAAAUAUAAUUACCCUUGUUUUUUUUAAUCUCUUUCUAUACCGGACAAUUAGAAUAUAAAUAGCAGUUAUUAUUUUCACUUGUAUUUUUUUAAAAUAAAUUUUAAUUCAAAAUUCCUUCCAAAAUGAAUAUACGGACCAAAAGUAUAUUAUUUUGUCUAAUAAAAGAUAAAAGAAAGAUUAUACUAGCUAUUAUUUCGGUGAUUAUUUUUAAUAUUACAACUAAUAGCCAUUACAGCUAAUAAAAAAUCAAGAAUUUUUCGCCGAUUUAUCGCCGUUGUGAGCUCGCGAUAUUUUACCAAUCCUGCGUAUAAUUAAAAUUAAAGUUUUAUUUCUCGAUAAAGAGCCGAAACGGGGUUCCCGAUAAGCAAGGCAAAAAAACUGUGGCAUUCUUUGUAAUUCCGUGAUAAACUUUGUCCUGUACCGUCAUUCCACCUCCUACGUGGUCCUCUUGUCGUUUUCUCCCAUUCACCGUAACUCGAUCGGCACCUCUUUCUAAACACGGAAGAUCUGUAACCACAAACCAACGAUUUGAAACAUUUAUGUAGUUACGCGUGGCUGGCAGGGAAUCGGACAUUUUAGCUGUUCUAUGUUAUUGGAGAAGGACAGCUGCGGUAACUAGAUCCCGCUACGGAAAACUUGACGAGCCACGCAGGCGGCCCCUGCGGGGACAAAAGGCACACGUCCCUAUCAUUCUCGCUUGACUUAUCAAAUGAUAGGACACUGUUCGUCUCACCAUCACUGAUAAGCCAAUCAGCUCCUCGGGUUGCCCCCCCGCGGCUCCUCCCCCCUAUAAAUAAGCCCUCUCGGCAUCCCGAGUGCGAUUUUUUUCUGUCUUUUUUAACCCCUUCCCAUUUUUGUUUCUUUUUGUCGUUCGUUUCUUGGGAGGGGCUGGUGGGAGGAAAAAGAGCGAGAGAUUUCGUCUCGCCGCUCGUCUCCGAUCUCUCUCUCUCUCUCUCUCUCUGGCCUCCGACUGUGAGGUGAGCGUCUUUUCUUUGGGUUUUUCUUGAAUUCUUUCGGAAUCUUUGUCUUAUAGACUCAGCUUUUGCCUUUUUCCUUUUCUCCAUCUACUUGCGCUAUCUCUGAUUCCUCGUGUUCGAUCUCCGGAAACCCUAGAAUUUUUUCACGCUGGGCAGAGUUUCUGGUCGCCGGCGGAUCUUUGUGGGGAGGAAAGAAGAGGUUUUUGAGUGAUUUAGUACUCGUUUCUUGUUUCUUUCUGAGUUUUGUUUCGAUUUGGAAAGUUUUGAUUAGCUGAAUUCUGGCUUUUUCGUGGGAAUCUUGUUGCGCCUGGUCUAGUGUUUUGAAGAUAGAUAUGACCUUUGUUUCUUUCCUUUCGAUGAUUUAGGGUUUGAAUGUGACGACUGGGGGCAGUGGUGUGGAUAUUUGUGAGAAAGACCUGGCGUAGCAAUGUCUUCCCUUAGUCGAGAGCUGGUUUUCUUGAUCUUGCAGUUUCUUGAUGAGGAGAAGUUUAAAGAGACCGUCCACAAGUAUGUUUGCCUUUGAAAAAGAUUUCGAUAUUUCAUUAGUAAUUCGUUUUCUCACCGCUUUUGAGUUGUGGCUCUGUUUUUCCCCCCUGUCACCUCUCUCCUUCUUCUUCUUUUGGUAAUAGGCUCGAGCAGGAAUCUGGUUUCUAUUUCAAUAUGAAGUACUUUGAAGAUGAAGUGCAGAGGGGAAACUGGGAUGAAGUGGAGCGGUACCUCUCUGGUUUCACUAAGGUUGAUGACAACCGAUAUUCCAUGAAAAUUUUCUUUGAAAUCCGGAAACAGAAAUAUCUUGAGGCAUUGGAUAAGUAAGUUUCCCUUUCCUUGGCUUUCUUUUGGAGUGAUUGAAUGAGCCCUUGUACAGGAAAGUGGUUUUACUGGACAUUCUCUGUUUUGUUUGACCGGAAUAUUACCUAUCGGGCAUUGUUUCCGUGAUCUUUCUUAUCCUAUAUGACGACCCUUUGUUUCUCUUCUAUUUUAUAAUUAAGCAUGGUUUUUAUUAAAUUCCUUUUCUAGGCGUGAUCGUGCAAAGGCUGUCGAUAUCCUUGUGAAGGAUCUGAAAGUCUUCUCCUCAUUUAACGAGGAUCUUUUCAAGGAAAUUACACAGCUUCUGACAUUGGAGAAUUUCAGGUAAGGCUUUAUAACAAUUUUAUCUACAUCUGUUGGUUUGGUAAAUGAUUGUUUUGAGAAAUAUGCUUGUUUUAAAGGGAGAAUGAACAGCUCUCAAAAUAUGGUGAUACUAAAUCAGCAAGGACAAUAAUGCUUGUUGAGCUUAAGAAGCUAAUUGAGGCGAACCCUCUGUUCCGCGACAAAUUGCAGUUUCCAACCCUCAAAAAUUCCAGGCUACGCACUCUUAUUAAUCAGAGGUAAAUCAAUGGGGCAUGCCUUCCACAUUUACAGUGUGGUGCUAGUUUAGUCCGUAUUUUUCUUUCUAGUUGCUCAUAUAUUCAACAAAAUAUGACGGUCGAAAUUUGGGAUUAUCCAGAAUUUGCAUAAACCACAUUGCUUUAGCUUGUUAGUAGCGAACUUGUGUAAAAAGGACAUGAAAUUUUAUGCCCUGCUUUCUAGCAUUACUUUAACUUACAAGUGGUAAGUACAUGCAAAAGAGACAUGUCGAAAGGGCUUAGAAUACUUAAAGUUUCUAGUUUUCAUAUCAUUCUUUCUCUAUAUUCUACUAUUAUAGUACUCACAGCAUCAUAUAACAUGCAGCCUUCUAUGCAGCAUAAAUUUGCAUAAGGCAUGCCUGUAGUGUGCUAUUGGGGUCUCUUGAUCUCUCAUAUAUUCAUGCAUAUAUACAUAUUAGAAAUGCAUAUACAUCAACCUACAUACAACUUCACUUGCGAGUAUAAAAAUUAAUGCUUCAUGCAGAUAUAGAUGCAUGCAUAUCUAUUCCACUUGUAGUAUAUAUUUUUCAUGUGCACAUGAACACCUGGUCCUGAACCUGUAUAGCAUAUGAUGGUUAUGCGAUCAUAUAUACAGGUAUUCAUCGUAAUAAUGUGUUGAAUGAGUCUUCUUAAAUAAAAGGUGUCUCAUGCACGAUCAUUAUCCCAUGUGUUUGUAAUAGUGCAUAUGAAGCUGCUUCUUGAUUUGUUGCUUAUUUAUUUGUGUAGUUGAGCAAUUUAUCUUCAUUUUUAGCCUUCGAAAUAUUAUUGUUUAGAGUGUGGCUUCUUAAGGGUGAACCGAUGUCAUCAUGUAAUUUGGCAGUUUAAACUGGCAGCACCAGCUCUGCAAAAAUCCAAGGCCUAAUCCAGAUAUAAAAACCCUUUUUGUUGACCACUCUUGUGGACAGCCAAAUGGUGUGCGCACGCCAUCACCUGCAAACAAUCCUCUGCUUGGAUCUAUACCAAAGCCAGGAGGUUUUCCUCCUUUGGGUGCACAUGCGGUAAUUAAACUAGCUUAAUCUAUACACCUUCUUCUGUAAAGUGGUACGUAAUCUUUCAGACUUAAUUUAGUGGGUUUCAUUCAGCCUUUUCAAACUGCACCAGCACCCAUACAUGCGCCUCUUGCUGGUUGGAUGUCUAAUCCACCAACAGUAACUCAUCCAACGGUUUCUGGAGGGCCCAUUGGACUCGUUGCCCCUUCAAAUCCUGGUAGGUUAUUUUAGAAAGUAAAAAAAUUGUGUAGAUCAGUUAAGACUUCAAAUUUUGAUAUGGAUAUAUAGCUGUUCGCCGUUCAUGUUUGUUGCUUUGAAUGUAGCUGCAAUUUUGAAGCAUCCUAGGACUCCAACCAACAACCUUGCCGCAGAUUACCCUUCAGCAGAUUCUGAUCAUGUAUCAAAACGAACAAGGCCCAUUGGGAUUUCUCAUGAGGUGUGCUAGGUUGCCUUUAGUGGAACCUGUUUUAUUUUCGUUUCUUACCACUAUUGAUGCUUAUAAGCUCUUACAGCUGCAGAACUUAAAAAUUACAAGUUUUCUGACCUCCUCUUUGUUCUUUCAACUGCUUGUGAAGGUGAAUCUGCCUGUCAAUAUAUUGCCAGUUACUUAUCUUCAAAAUCGCAGUCAAUCUAUGUACCCUCUAGACGACUUGCCCAAGACUGUUGCAAGAGCACUUAAUCAGGGUUCAACUCCCAUGAGCAUGGAUUUUCAUCCUACUCAACAGACAGUUCUUCUUGGUGAGCUUUUGUUCUGUCAUGAUACACAAACAGAUAGAUAUAUCUUAGAAAAUCUGUUAUUUUCAGUUAGUACUUCUGAUGUGUAUUGAUUUUGCUUUUAAUAUGGUUUAGUCGGUACAAAUGUGGGGGACAUUGGAUUAUGGGAUGUUGGAACUAGGGAGAGACUAGUUCUGAAAAAUUUCAGGGUUUGGGAACCUGCAGCAUGCCCAAUGGCUCUUCAGGUUUGUUCCUUUAAUUGAUUAAAGAUAUUUUGUGAAACUGUAUACAAUAUCAUGUUCUAUUUCACUUUGAAUCCGUAUCCUGUCACUGCAAUUUGAAUUUUGACUUGCUGCAACCCAGACUGCUCUAGUUAAAGAUUCAGGCGUGUCAGUUAACCGUGUAAUAUGGAGUCCAGAAGGCUCUUUGUUUGGUAGGUAUAUAGCAGCAGAUAUUUGAAUAUAGAAACCAAAUAUCCAUAACAAGAGAUUGUGAUAUAUCUGGAAUCUCUGUUUCCUUGCCACUUCUCUAGGUGUUGCAUACUCAAGGCAUAUUGUGCAGAUAUAUUCUUAUCAUGGUGGUGAUGAUAUUAGGCAACACUUGGAGGUAUAGAAUGUACCAAUGCCAUUUAUUAAGUUUUACCGGUCUGUUCCGAUAUCUUAGACACUGAUGAAUUAAUCACAUUUGCAGAUUGAUGCUCAUGUUGGUGGUGUCAAUGAUCUUGCAUUUUCUAACCCCAAUAAACAACUGUGUGUAAUCACUUGUGGAGAUGACAAGAAAAUUAAGGUUGGUUUUAGAUCUAAGUAUUGAACUGAUUUGUAGAUGCUGUACUUUCGAAGUACUAAUUUAUGUAUGGCUAUUAAAUUUUAGGUAUGGGAUGCCACUACUGGUGCCAAACAGUAUACUUUUGAAGGCCAUGAGGCACCUGUUUAUUCUGUUUGUCCUCACCACAAGGAGAACAUUCAGGUAAUAAAUUUAUCAGACACUAGUUAGUUCCUGGAUUGAUUAUUUAUUUAUGUUUAUAGGACAAAUAUCCAUUUUCUGUAUUUGCGAUGCUGUUGUUAUUCAUGUUGUGUUAAUGCUACAUUAAUGCUAUCCUUUGUUGAUUAUACAGUUCAUCUUUUCGACAGCAUUAGAUGGAAAGAUCAAGGCAUGGUUGUAUGAUAAUUUGGGUUCUAGAGUUGAUUAUGAUGCCCCUGGUUGCUGGUGCACUACGAUGGCAUACAGUGCUGAUGGUUCACGGUCAAUUGGCUGGCUCUAUCUCAUCAUUUGGAAUUAAUUUUUUUCCUUAUUUAUGUGUCAAGUUUUACUUUCAAUCUCUGUAGAUUAUUUUCUUGUGGGACCAGCAAAGAUGGAGAAACAUACAUUGUUGAAUGGAAUGAAAGUGAAGGGGCUGUUAAGAGGACCUUUCUAGGAUUGCAGAAACGGUCUUUGGGUGUCGUACAAUUUGACACCACUAGGAAUCGCUUUCUGGCUGCUGGCGAUGAAUUUCUAAUAAAAUUUUGGGAUAUGGAUAAUACUAAUCUUUUGACGUCUAUUGAUGCUGAAGGUGGACUCCCAGUAAGUUUGUUAUAUAGAGUUCCCGUGCCAUAUGAUCAACUAUGUAGAAGGAAAAUAGAAAGACUAAGUUCUCACAUAAUUUGAACUUGUUCUAAUCUUUAGGCAAGCCCGCGUAUACGAUUCAACAAGGAGGGUACAUUGCUGGCCGUUUCUACACAUGACAAUGGGAUCAAGAUCUUGGCAAAUGCUGAUGGACUUCGUUUGUUGCGCACAUUUGAAAAUCGAUUGCUUGAUACUUCGAGGGUUGUAUCGGAGACUGUAAUGAAGGUAUUUCCUUAUGCUAAUUUGAUUGUCCUGAUCAAUAAUGCCAACAAUAUCAUGUUGUGUUUUUUAUCCAUGAUGCAUCCCAUAAUAAGCCUAUUGUGUGCUGUUGCAAUUGGGACUAGUAGUGGAACAGACAAAGCUGCUCCUACAGUGUCUGUAGUUGGAAUGGUUUGUUAAUUUUUUUUUUCUCACAUUUUUUGUUGUCAAUUUUGCUGAAUGUCUCUCAAUGUGAGAGUGCCAUUCAUUAAAUAGAAAACUGUACAAAGAUACAUCUCUGAUUUUGUGCUCCUACCAGCUAUCAUAUCUCUCUAAAUAUGGAAAGAUACAUCGCUGAUUUUGUGUUAUCAUUAUCUCUCUAGAUAUGGGAAGAUACAUUUCUGAUUUUGUGCUCCUACCAGCUAUCAUAUCUCUCUAAAUAUGGAAAGAUACAUCGCUGAUUUUGUGUUAUCAUAUCUCUCUAGAUAUGGGAAGAUACAUCUCUAAUUUUGUGCUCCUACCAGCUAUCAUAUCUCUCUAAAUAUGGGAAGAUACAUUCCUGAUUUUGUGUUAUCAUAUUUCUCUAAAUAUGGAAAGAUACAUCCCUGAUUUUGUGCUCCUACUAGCUAUCAUAUUGGCAUCCCCCCUCAAAUUGAUGCUAGUUGAUCAAGAAGCAUCAAUUUGCCAACCAGAAAUUGAUGACGCAACCGGGUCAGCCUUGGUAAACACAUCAGCAAUCUGAAGGUCCGUGCAAAUAUGCGGAAGAGAAAUGACAUGAGUAUCCACAGCUUUCCGAAUAGAAUGGCAAUUCACUUCGAUGUGCUUGGUACGCUCAUGUAAAAUAGGAUUAGUAGCAUUCCGAACGGCACUCGGGUUAUCAGCAUGGAGAGGAGUGGGAUCUGACGGAGGAAAUCCAAGCUCGGCCAGGAGCCCAUGAAGCCAUUCAAUUUCAGAGCAAGCAGCAGACAUGGCACAAUACUUUGACUCAGUCGAGAUGGAAAAUACGAUCCUGCUUCUUAUUCUUUCAAGAUAUUAAGGAAUCUCCAAGAAACAUAUGCCAACCCGUGAUAGAGCGAUGUGUAUCAAGAGAUCCUGCCCAAUCAGAAUCACUAAAAGCAACAAGACGAAUAGGAGAACCAAUAGGAAAGAACAAUCCAUGGUUAGGAGAACCUUGAAGAUACCAAAUGAUAUGACGAACAUCCGCCAAAUGUAGAUGCCGUAGGGAUUGCAUAAAUUGGCUAACUUGCCGGACAACAACAGAGAUAUCUGAUUGUGCAAUAGUCAGAUAAUUCAAGCUGCCAGCUAAUUGCCAAAAUCGAGUAGGAUCAGGAAGAAUAUCGCCCUCCUCACGACGAUACUAAACAUUUACUUCCAGAGGAGUGUCCACAGAGAAAGAGUCCUAAAAACUAGCCAAAGCAACCAAAUUCUGCGUAUAUUUGUGUUGAUGCAAGAACACAUCAGAAGGAUCAGUAUGAACCUCCAAUUCCAAAAAGUACGUAAGAGGACUAAGGUCCUUCAUAUGAAAAGAGUCCUGGAGAUGCUGCUGAAGGCGGAUAAUCAACAAGGAAUAUGUCCCUGUAAUAACAAUGUCAUCUACAUAAACAAGGAGGAGAACAAUACCAGAGGAUGUCUUGCAAAGAAACAAGGAGUCAUAUUGACUCUGCACAAAAGAGAAGCGAAGCAAGGUAGAUUGGAACUUUUCAAACCACGUCCGGGGAGCUUGUUUCAAGCCAUACAAAGAUCUCUUCAACUUACAGACGUCGGAAGUAGAUGUGGAGAGCAAACCUGGUGGAGGUGUUAUGUAAAUAUUCUUCUUGAGAUCACCAUGGAGAAAAGUAUUUUUGACGUCCAUUUGAUGUAGUGGCCAACCCUGUGAAGUGACAAUGACAAUAGCUGUACGCACCAUAGUUAUUUUCGCCACAAGAGCAAAUGUCUUCUCAUAGUUCACCCCAUACUCCUGCUUGUUACCAAGAGCAACCAAUCGUGCCUUGUAGCAAUCCGGAGUCCUAUCUGAACAAAGCUUAACUGAGUAAACCCGUUUACAUCCAAUGGGCUUAACGGUAGAGGGGCAAGGAACAAUGUCCCAUGUAUGAUUCUCCUGAAGAGCUCAAAGUUACUCUUGCAUUGCCUUCUACCAACACUCAUGCUUCACAGCCUGAGUAACACGAUGGAACCGAAAUAGUGGACAAAGUAGCAUUGAGAGAUGUGUGAGGAAAACCAUACCCAUCAAGAGGAUGAGAGACUCUGGUAGAUCGUUGAGGAGCAGCCUGAACAGGCUCAGGUGGUGGAUCAGUCUCGGAAAGGGGCAAAGUCGCUCGAUGUCGUUCAUACACAAAUCCAGGCUUGAACCGCUCAGGAGGGGUCAAGUCAUCAAGCUAGGAAGAAUAGAAACUGCAGGAGAUGACUCAACAUGAGUGGGAAAGAAGUACUGAGUCUCAAAGAAGACAACAUUGUGAGAAACACUGUUAGAGCAUGGAUCAUAGCAAAUAAAAUCUUUUUGAGAAACACUAUAACCCACAAAGGCGCAUUUAACAGAUUGAGCAGAAAGUUUAUGGCGUUCAUAAGAAAGCAAAUACACAAAGCAAACACAGCCAAAAGUAUGCAAAUAUACUUAGGAUGCUGACGGUAAAGACGAUAAUAUGAAGAGUUGAGGUUUAACACCUGAGAUGGCAGUCUAUUAAUUAAAUAAACUGUUGUAGGUAAAGCCCCAACCCAUAAUUUAGAUGGAACAGAAGACUCAAGUAAUAAAGUUCGAACGACAUCCAAAAGAUGAUAGUUCUUCCAUUUAGCCAUGCUAUUUUGCUGUGGCAUAUAAGGGCAUGAGCGUUGUGAGACAAUACCUUUUUGAUGCAGAAAAUUAUGAAACUCGUGAGACAUAUUCUCCACCAGAAUCAGAUCUCAACACUUUAAUACCAAUAGAAAAUUGUGUCUCAACAUAUGGCAGAAAGGUUUGGAAAACAGAGAAGACCUCGGAUUUGGAACAUAGAAAAUACACCUAGGUAAACCGAUUGUAAUCAUCACUGAACGUCACAAAGUUCUUAUGGUGAGCAUGAGAAAUAAUAGGUGUAAUGCCCCAAACAUCACUAUGAAUAAUAUCAAAACACCUUUCUGCACGAUUACCAAGAGAAGAAAAAGAAAGUCUUACUCUUUCCUAAUUUACAUGUAGAACAAUCAAAGAAAAGGCUAUGAGAAGAAAAUUGAUCUGUAUUGCCCAACAAAUCGGAGUUCAACAAAUGAGACAAAACAGUAGAAUUUGGAUGGCCUAAACGUUUAUACCAUACUUCACUCUUAUUUUUAACAAUGGUACAAGCCAAAGAUAUGAAACUAGAAAUAAAAAAGUGCAGCGAAAACAGUCUCUCAACUUUAGGCCUCUUCGCGAUUAUCGUCCUCGAUACCUGAUCCUACACAAAAUAAUCAUCACGAGAAAAAUGGACAUCACAGUUAUCCACCAAUUAACCAACCGAAAUAAGACUAGAAGAGAGUCCAAGCGAUACAAAAACAUUCUUGAAAGAUGAAGUAAUAUCCCCAACAGCAAUAAUAGGUAAAUUACUUCCAUUAGCAAUCUGAAUAUGUGAUGAACCAUGACACAAACAAAUAUUUCUAAGCAUACCAGAUGAACUUGUUAUAUAAUUUGAUGCACCAGAAUCAACAAACCAAGGCUGAGAUGUAGUACCCUUACCUUAUAACCUUAAGGCUGAAAAGGCCGAAACAAUCAUCUGUCGUACUAUUUCAAGAGUAAGAACAAUUAGUCUAGCAACCGUAGAAGUGCUGGUAGGCACUGCAGGAGGAGUAAACUGAUUGCUGGUCCCUGCUGAAGACUGACCAUUUGGAGAAGUGCUAAUGGCAGUCUGAAAAGCAUUGGCUUGGCGGUUUUGAGAGCGAGUGGAGCACUCUUUGAUGAUGUGUCCUUGCUGUUUACAGUAGUUGUAGAACAUUUUUCUACAAUUGAUAGCAAUGUGUCCGUAUUCUUUGCAGCUAUAGCACUGCACCUUGCGCAUAUCCCUACUCUUCCCCUUUUCUUGAGCCACAUAAGCAACCGUAACGACAUUAGAUGGCAUCCUCUCCUACUCGAAAGUGGCCUGUGUGAGAAUACGCUGUUCUUCAUAAAGUAAUUCUCCAAAACAAACAUCUAAGGAUGGAGGAGGGUUACGGUUCAUCAAUUUGGAGCGAGUAACCCCAAAUUCAGGUCGCAACUUCAUCAAAAACUGAUCUCUUUUGCUUUGCUCAUGAACUACUUGAACAACAAAGAGAGAUUCAGCAAGUACCUUAGUAUAUACAAUUUCAGAAAAUUUUGCCUAAAGUUCUGAAAGCCAGAAAAGUAGUCCUGGAUGAAGAGAUUGCCCUGAGAGUAACUAGUAAUCCCACAUGGUUUUGGCAGUCUUAUAUGGCCUCAGAUUAAGAACAAUAGGAGGGUCAACAAACCCUAAUAUCCAGGUCAUCACCCGAGCAUCUUUGACCUUUCAUUGAGCCAACUUUAUAGGAUCCGUAGGGGCUGGAUCACUUCCAUCUAUAUGGCCUCACAAAUUCUUUUCUGUGACAUAUUUGAAACUGAAAUUCUUAGGCAGAAUAGUUCUUUCCAGUGAAUCGGACACUGAAAGUAUCAGAAUUUCUUGCAGCAUGGUGAAAGAAUAUCGUCAAUUCAUAACACAGCAGCACAGGAAUAACAGAAGGAUUUUCGAACAACACAGCACCAAGAAAACCAGAAAAUCCGAAAGACCAAAAACACUAGAAAACACGUUGCAACAAAUCCAAAAAUCCAGAAAACAUGCUGCAGAGAAAGCCGAAACCCAAGAGCCCUAGAUAUCUAGGGCUAAACACCAAAGAAAGCCAAAAAAACUAGAAAACUCGGAGAGCACUAAUGGCUCUGAUACCAUGUCAAUUUUGCUGAAUGUCUCUCAAUGUGAGAGUGCCUUUCAUUAAAUAGAAAACUGUACAAAGAUACAUCCCUGAUUUUGUGAAGAUACAUCCCUGAUUUUGUGCUAUCAUAUCUCUCUAAAUAUGGGAAGAAACAUCCCUGAUUUUGUGCUAUCAUAUCUCUCUAAAUAUGGGAAGAUACAUCCUUGAUUUUGUGCUCCUACCAGCUAUCAUAUUGACAUUUGUGUGUGGGGAUGGAUGGUGUUGUUGAGCUACUUUAUUUUGGUCUUGCUUCUGUACUUUCAUGCUAAACAAAUAACUAACACACUCAUACCUUGCUUCCAUCAUUUUGCAUCAAAUAGAGAUUUUUAUAGACUUUUAACCCACUACUUUGCACUAACUUUAUAUUUUAUUUUUGAUAGAAUGGAGACAACAGAAGUUUGGUAGAUGUAAAACCUAGAUUAGUUGAUGAGUCGAUGGACAAAUUAAAGAUCUGGAAGCUCACUGAAAUCAAUGAACUGGUUCAAUGUCAAUCCCUGAGGCUUGUAGAUAACAUGAGAACAAGCAAGGUAAGGUUUUUGCAUCUGGAACAUCAUUUUUAUCUAUGAUUGCUCGCUUGCUACAGCAUUGCAAAAAACCUUUCAUGAGUAUCCUUAGAAAUCAGUUGCCUAUUCUUGGCCUGCAAAAGCAUCAUGAGUCAGGAAAUUGCAUAGAUUAAUGUGUUUAUAUCAUCAGAAGUACCUCAUGCAUUUGGCAUCAUACACUCUGAACACAUUGAGCAAAUUAAUGAGGUGCACAUGUAGCUAUUUUGAUCUUCAUGUCAAUUUUUUUUGCACUUAUGUUUUUGCAGUCAAUAUGCACUUUAAUCCAUAUUCUAGGUUCUUUAGUAUUUUUUUCCUAUCAAAGGCUGCAAUCACACAUUUUUUGUUAAAUCAGAUAUUAAAUGUAUAACCACAAAUUUUGGCUAAUAGCCAACUUUUCUUAAAAACAGGAUUCUUUCAUUACAAGUUAUAUGAAGGUUCAAGUUAAACCUUUUUCUAUUACUCUGUUGGAUAAAUUUCCGUAAUUAAUUAAACUCCACUACUUUAUUGGCUAGGUGUUGGUUAACAUGGUUCCUUAUAUCUACUAUUAAUAUUUAUGUGCAUGGAUAAGUAGGAAAGUACCCUAUUGUUGUGCUAGUGUAGUUGGAUCUUUAGCUUUUUGGGGAUUUUAGGAAUAGGAUCAUUAAUUGGUGUGCCAAAACUCAAUAGUGGAUGGCAAUAAAGUGGUCGGUUUCUUUGUCAACUUUCAGUAGUAUUAUUGUUUCUCUAAAAGGUUUGUGCUUUCGGCAUGGGAGAGGGAGAAACAAUAAAUAACUGGGUUGGAUUAAUGCGCGAGCAUGCCAUCGGUCUGAACCAGAAAGGAUAGAUGAUGACGGAUUUUGUUGCCUUAACUUUCAAGAACUUUUGCUACUGAAAGAAUUAAGUUAUUACUGUUGAGGAUAAAAGUUAAAGAAUAAAAGAACAUAAUAAUAACUAAACAGAUAAAGAAUAAAAGAACAUAAUAAUAACUAAACAGAUAAAAAUAAAAUUGUUGAUCAUUGAUUAGCGAAAAGGCCUAUUCUUAAGAUUACAAUUUGAUAUUUAUACCGGGGAUAAAAGCUAAAGGAUAAAGGGAAAUAACAACAACUAAAGAGAUAAAAAUAAAAUUGUUGAUCCUUGAUUGGCAAAAAGGCCUGUUCUUAGGUUUACAAUUUGAUAACUAUACAUUCUCUUUUUAAUCACUAGACAGAUGUCACCCUCUAGUGCUGACAUCCGUCAUCUUUGGUUAAUGCGACUUCUGUCAUUUUCUCUUGAUGGUUGUCGCACUUAGUUUUAAUCUUAAAGCCAUUUCUCUUCACAUCCUAAGCUCUUGGCAACUGCUUCAACUGCUUGAAUCUUCACAUUGUAUCAGGUCAAUGAUUUAGCAGCACAAACAACAUAGACCAUGAUCUGCCUUUAGUUCAACACUUAGCCUCUCAAAUAUGCCAUGCUCAGUCGACCUACAUUUCGCCCCAACUUUUCUUCAAGACUCGACCUAUACCUCGAGCGAUUCAUCGCUCGUCUUGUUGCAACUAGUGCUCUUUAAUCGUCACUUGGCCUACCUCUGUGAUGCUAUGUGGUUGCCCAAUUGGCCUACAGACAUGUCAUUUUUUAGUUUCUCUUAACCAUCAUUCGGCCUUGCUCAAGCGUUACUGCCUAGUCUCAUCUUAGCCAAUCUUCACACCUUUAGUAUUGAUUUGACUGUGAAGUAAACAAUGCCCUCCCACAUCCCGUCAAUCGAUGAUUAGAAGGAUGAUGGGAUAUAUCCGAUACCACAUCCACGACCUUGAUUAGUCGUCUGAUGGACUUCUCAAACGCAUUAAACUAUUGUAAUUCCUGCAUUCCUUUGGAAUUAGCCCUUAUCAUUAUUUAAAGUGUGGCCCAAUAUAUCUCUUCAAUCAUAGUUAGUAGCCAUAUAGGCUGAUGGCCUGCAUGAUUUGCCCACCUUUUGAAUUAUUGCAACCAAUUAGAAUCCCUUUCGGGUAUGGCUCGGUAUGCUGCAGUAGCCUUUCUAUAAAUAAGUCUCAUCCUCUUUCUUUUAUCCUAUCACUUCCAUAAGCCCUAAUUCUAGAGUCAUUACCUUCUUCCUUGAUCGGUCUUCUGCAACUUCAUCCCCAAUCUGCUACUUCCUUCUCCCAGGCGAAGAUAUAUUCGGACAUCUUAGUGCCCAAUUCUAUGGCCAGCAAAGGCAAGAAGAGCUUGAGCAUUAUGGAGUUCUUAAAUCUGUGAGCUUGUAGGUACUUUUCUAUGAUCCCUCUAGUCUUCUCAUCCUAGAUCCACUCCUUAACUUAGGUAUCCUUGAGGCCCUUUCUCCCAUCUUUCCUCAUCAUCUCAAUGAAACCUCUCUAAGAAAGACCGAGUUUUAAGACUUUGGUUUGAGAAAGCCCUAACCCUCAUUGGUCUUGGGCCCUUGGCUGACCAAGACCAAUUUCUGCGAUUACUUGUUCGGCUGUGUCUUCCAACAAAAGUGUUCAAUCUGGGAGGAGAAUGGCCUCUCAGAUAUUUUCUUUUUCUAAAUCUCCCACAAUAGCAAAUCGGUUUUUUAUCUUUGUUGCUCUUUGCUUGUGUGCCUUCGACCAACAACCUUCAUUUGAAUCAUGGGAUAACUAGUCCUAGCCUUCUAGAUUUAGGGGCUAUUUUGAAUCUUAGGCUGCCUAGUGAAGUGUCCCAUGCUAGUACACUAGUUGAAGUGUUUGAUGACGAGUUUGACUUGGAUCUGGGUAAAAAGGCUAGUUAUACCUCCUAUCGAAAAGCCUUCAGCCAACGGACUAGUUCAAUCUCCAAAUAAGGGUAUCUAGCUUUCUUUCUUGUCUUGGUUUGUAGGGCUUUGUUUUUUUUUUUCCCCCUCGAUUAGUCAAGAUAUUGAAAGUGCGUCUUUGCUCGGCUAUAGCUAUAGCCCCUUUGGUCUUAGCCUAUAUCUAAUGAGGCCUUAGAGAAGACUCCUAGGGAACUUGGAGUUGCGGAGGUCUUUUAUGGAUCUUCCAUCUCCGAAUCAAUGCCUACUUCCUAGAAUUUAAGAGUACUGGAAGGGAAGUAACUACCAUGCAUAACAAUAGCGGCCCAUAUAACGCAAGCCAACAAGAGUAAAUAUCAAAACUAAAUAGUGACACUUAUCUCAACAGUUAAUAGGAACCACUUGGAGAAGAGGCCCUUCGCCAAUAAUAACUACUAGUUCUAUUUUUAUCUAUCCAGUUAUCUUUCAAUUAUUUUGAUUUAUCCUUGAGCUUUUAGCUUUUUUACCCAUUAGCAUAGCACUGUAGUUACCUCUUCCUUCACUCGAGAAGGCAGCAUUUCGGUAGUGAAAGUCCUUGAAGGUCAAAGCAGCAGAACCCACUACUAUCUAUCCUUUCCACUUUAAUCACUGGUGGCAUGUUCGUACAUCUAUCCAACCUGGCCAUAAACAUGUUCUUCCCAUCUCAACCCAAGAGAAAGAAGGGGCAAUAAUUUCUCUGUCCCGAGGGACCUUCAUGUAGGCCCCAAUAUUGAGUGAUUUGGCAAUAAUAAAGCUUGGUUGAAUACUAUUCUUCGAAUUUCUUUGCUCACCAAUCCGGCCUCAUCCAAGCAAUCCCUUGUCUACCCCUUUAUUCUUUGAACUCUUCAUUUUAUAAUCGGCUUGUCAUCACUAAUCUGAACUUGAUCUCUUUGGCUGAUUUUCUCUGUCAAGGGUCAUGUUCAGAGGAUAACUUUGUCCCCUUCACUCCCUGACCUGCCAUGGCCAAGGACUUUGUGGAUUGAUGUGAUGCCUAUUUGAUUAAAAUUCAGUUUGAAAGGCGUCCGCCAUGUUUAGCCGGAACUGAUGUUGAUUCUUGGCUUGAUUCAGAGAGUGAAGGCACAUCCUUGGCCACUUUAAAACUGAAAGAUGAUGUCUCUAUUUUACAGCUUGCCGGUGGAGCGGCUUCAGUUUUAUGGAAUCAAAUACACUGGACAUCUUAUGUCAAUGAGAUUUGAAGGCAGUCAGCUAAGUGUAGACUAAGAGAUGAGUUUGAGGAAAAAUUCAAGCUUAGAGCUAGCAACAUAAGGAGACUCCGGUAGGGGUAACACUUCGACUGAUCAGCAUGUUAUAAAAAAAUUAACGAGUUGUUGGCUUAACAUCAGCCUGCAAGGCCACUCACAAAAUUUGGAAUGGCCGACCUGGUUGUCCUAGUGAAGCCCAUGGUUGGCUUAACGUCGUCUUUUAAGGAUUGUUUAGAUGCCCAAGCACUCUCUCUGUGUAAUGCAUUCAAUACAAGUGCUAGGGCAAGAAGAGAGGAGGCAGAGGAAGAAGGAUGAGUUUGAAGCAAUGAACCAUCUCAAGAUAUCUGAGAUACUGAAUCACCAAUUUAAAAGAAGCUCAGCAUCCUUACCAUAGGGGGAUUGGUGGGAUCAACAACUUCACUUGUACCCUGCAUUCUUUCUUUUUUUCUUCCCCUUUAUCCAAUGGAUAUCAUGCAGAUAGGGUAGCGGAGCAUCUAAACAGAACCUGUGCUCUUCUAUUCCAUGCCCUAUAAACAAUUUAAAAAAAAACUAUGCUGAUGUUUCUCCCAUUCUUGAAUGCAAAUUUAUGAUAUUUCAUAUGAUUCAGAAAUAUUUAGAUUUCCAGCAGCAUCGCAUUCCUCUGAGUUUAUUCCUCCUAGUUAGGCUGCAAGCAUCACAGUUUGCUUCUGUUUUUUUACAAUACACAGCUAUACCUUUUGUAACUUGGCAGCGUAAUGACAAUGCCCUGAAAAACAAGUAGCAUAUACCAGAUAACACAUUUAAAAGAACUACAUAUACAAUUUUUAACUAUUCUUCACAUUUGUCUAAGAGGCAACUAAGAUAUUAGAUGCUUCCUUGACUGUUUUUAUCAUCAAGCUUGUAUAGCAUACCAUGUGGGAAACAGUGUAAGAUUCUUAUUGUCCUUAUUCUUCCCAUGGUUACAGAUAUCAAGAUUAAUUUAUACCAAUUCUGGAGUUGCCAUCUUGGCUUUGGCAUCCAAUGCAAUUCAUCUACUCUGGAAGUGGCCUCGUAAUGAACGCAAUUCAAGUGGGAAAGUAUGAAGAAAUAGAUAGUUACAUAUGCUACAGUUUACUGUUACAAGUUCAAAUUUGUGGUGAUGUUCAGUAACAAUGCUUUAUUUUGUAGGCUACAGCAAGUGUUUCCCCACAGUUAUGGCAACCGCCAAGUGGCAUCUUGAUGACUAAUGACAUAACUGAUGCAAAUCCUGAGGAAGUAGUCCCAUGUUUUGCUUUGUCAAAGAAUGAUUCUUAUGUCAUGUCUGCAUCAGGCGGGAAAAUCUCCCUAUUUAACAUGAUGACAUUUAAGGUUGGCUUGAAACUAUUAUAAAACGAAGUUGCAGUUUACAUUCUGCCCUGCAAUCAAUGUUUUCAAUAUUUAAAUUCACGUUUAUCAAGUGCAGACUAUGACGACAUUUAUGUCCCCACCACCGGCAGCGACAUUUCUUGCAUUUCAUCCUCAGGAUAACAACAUAAUCGCUAUAGGAAUGGAUGACUCCACAGUCCAGAUAUAUAAUGUUCGUGUUGACGAGGUAACAAACAGAAACCACUGUCUGCACCACUGCUCCAGUUCAUCAUUCUUAAAACCUGUUAUCUUUCUGCAGGUCAAAAGCAAACUAAAAGGUCACUCUAAAAGAAUUACUGGUCUUGCCUUCUCGCAUGUUUUAAAUGUACUGGUGUCAUCUGGAGCUGAUGCUCAGGUUAAAUGACCAGUUCUUUUGGAUUACUGUGGCAUUCUUGUCUGACAUAUAAAAUUUUACAUUCUUAUUAGAUCCUAUUCUGACCUCUCAACGACAUAUCUGAUUAUGUUUCUUGCUUGCAGAUUUGCGUGUGGGGAACAGAUGGGUGGGAGAAGCAGAGGAGCAGAUUUUUGCAAAUUCUGCCUGGGCGUACUCCAAGUGCACUUUCAGAUACCUGUGUACAGUUUCACCAGGAUCAGAUACAUUUCCUGGCUGCACAUGAGACCCAGAUUGCUAUAUUUGAAACCAAUAAGUUAGAGUGUGUAAAGCAGGUAGUCUUACACUUCCAUAUGAGACCCAGAUACAUUUCCAUAUAGGGAAUGCUACAAAUGUCAUACACUUUAUACUCAUUCUUAAAUGAAUUCUGCUCUCAGUGGGUUCCGCGUGAAUCUUCUGCUCCAAUCACGCAUGCCACGUUCUCAUGUGACAGUCAACUGAUAUACGUAAGCUUUUUGGAUGCCACCGUGUGCAUAUUUAGUGUCGCAAAUCUCAGGAUGCGAUGUCGGAUAAGUCCAGCUGCUUAUCUCCCUGCUAACAUCAGGUAUCUUAGAAAGGACCACUUCCACGUAUAUGGAUGUUAUCUGCUUAAUUAUGCUGCAUGUACAUUUAUCACCUACAUCAUGCUUGGUUAUCAGACAAACUAGAUAAAUGAAAUAUUUCCGGUGCUUUUUGAAAUUACAACUGGUCUAUUAACUGUUUGGUCAGCAGCAUGAAUUACUUCUGUGAUCAAGGUGUACCAUUUUUUGUGUAACAUCAUUUCUUACUGAUUUUGUCAUUUUACGUUGCGAUGUCUCCAUUUCUUUGAUUUUUUUGUAAUUGAAGUAUAAAGGCAGGCGCAGAUCUAUGAAUAGGAGAUGUUGUACGAGUAUCUACAGGACCUAAAAAAGACGAGCGAGGUUUCCACUUGUGCUUUUCCCGGAUAGGUCAUUCUAAAGCAUCUGAUUUUUGCUUGCAAAUAAAAGAAAAAAAAAAAGGGAUAUGCCUUUUAGAUAUCAUAAAGCAACUUGCCAUUGCACGCCUGCCUUGUUAUUGUUAUGUCAGUACCAUGCCCAACCCUCGGGUGUGCCCUGAAGGCAUGCUCAAGAUGCCAUGACCAGCUAUUGUUGCUGACUUGCAAGUGUUCCCUGUUUCAGCUCAAAUGUGUAUCCACUUGUGGUUGCUGCACAUCCAUCAGAACCAAAUCAGUUUGCUUUGGGACUAACAGAUGGGGGUGUCCAUGUUUUCGAGCCACUGGAAUCUGAAGGCAAAUGGGGUGUUCCUCCACCUGCUGAGAAUGGGUCAGGGAGCAGCAUGUCCACAGCACCCCCAGCUGGAGCCUCAGGUUCAGAUCAACCACAGAGGUGAUGAUAAUAAUAUGUCUGGCCUGUCCAAUCCUUGUAGAAUUUUAGUGAAUUAGUCUGUUGGAUAAAUUAAUGGUUCUAGCCUGAUUGUUGGUACAUUCAAAGGCAAAACGUCCUGUUUUGGUGUGGGCAAAUCUGGAUAUAACCUUCCAGUCUCGAAACACUUUACUGGUGGUUUUCAGAUUCCACUAAUUAUAUUGAUAGGAAUGACCUCCAUGAUGGAUUAUUUCACAGAUGGUUCAAGACCAUGGCCAGCCAAAUCACAAAUAAAGGCAAAAACUUCAAAUGGCACGUAUCCAUUCUUAAAUUAAAAUGUGUUUUAACUUUCAUCUUCUUAAAUCUUGUACCAUUGUGUGAGUAGGUAAAACUCUGACAAGCUAUUUGAUUGACAAUCUUUGCUAGAACAGGUUUAGGAAAGACUUAUAACUUAUUGAGUUUUAAAAUGUGGUCGUUUUGUUGUUUUUUGAUAAAAUCUGUUCUGCCGAAACUGUUAUGAAACUUUAGAAACCUUUACGGAAGACUGGUCUCUCUCUUUUCCAUAAAUUCCAUCAUAUAGAAUCAUGCUUUCCAGUUAUCUUUUUAACAAAAAACUCGUAGCUAACCAAGUAGCUCCUAAAAGAACUACAACGGCUGAUCUACCGACCAGGGUUUGACCCUAGCAGGUUGUGCCUCUAUCAUUAUAGAAGUCGUACGACUUGAUUAUUGAGGUGUUCCACAAUUUAUAUUGAUUACCCUAGGAGGCAUUGAUGAAGAUCAUAACAUCACCAUUCGUUCAAGGUGUAGACCCGCUAAAUCACAAAGAGGAUUUCUACAUGUUACCCUAUUGCAUGAGCACAUCAAAGAUUGGAACUGUAAAAGAGCUUUAAUGUUUGAUCUGCUUACCAGAGCUUAGCCCAAGUGUUUUGUGCUUUCCCUAAUUUGGCAAAGGCCAUAUAGGUUUAAUUACUAUUAAGAGGCAUUGGUGAAGAUGUUCGUAUCAUAUGGUGAUGACCUGUAGAGAGUUGUUUGGCUUGAGAUUGUUUGUGUUAGGGUCCAUGUGUUUAGUUCUGCAUCUGUUGUAAGAUGAUAGGUUUCGGCUAGCUUUUUUGUAUGAGGUCUAGAAUUAUUAAAAUGGUAUCAGAGAAAAUUUAGCUCAUAACCUGCAUCUGUUGUAAGAUAAUGGGUUCCGGCUAGCUUUUUCCCUUCAGACUAGGCUCCAGCGCCGCCUCCAUUGUGAUUAGAUGCACAGCCUUUUACCAAGCUCUCAUUUGUCAUCACCAUUUUUUCCACCCAUGAAUCAGCGAAAAUCUCAUACCCUUUAGUUGGUUAGCCUCAAACUCACUUCCAUUGUCACAUCAAUAAACUGCCCUUCAUUGGUAAAGAAAGAUUGUGCACAAAAUCUAGCAUCAUGCACCACACCAUCCACAAGUUUACCAUAAGGCGUGGGGCAAAAACUGCUCUCAAAGAACAGUAACUAGUAUCAAAUGAACCUAUAAACAAACAGAAGCUAUAGCAGACAUUUCGACAGUUAACAACUACAAAAAGCACAAAUCUCAUGCUCCCCAUGGAACGACAGAUCACGAGGCAAGGACCGACCGUGCAUUGUGACGAACAUUGUUACGGCCAAGGCCCAAACCCAACCCCAGAGGGACCCCAUCAGUGUUACGGUUAUGGUUGCACUGUGAAGAAUUUACAUGUCCAUGAGAUCUAGCAUUUUUGGAAUGCAUGUCAAUGCAAACAUGGCCAUUGCUGUUUCCAUGUUGAGAAUGGCCAUCUCCAUUCUGCAAAUUCGUACUCCUUGUCAUUGGAAUCAUCCCCAUUUCCUCAGAAGGUGAUGCUUGCUCUGGACACUCAACAUCUUCAUUGUAACCAUUUAUCAGAAAGUCUGAACAGUUCUUGCGAAUGCCAUGAUCAUAUGGGUUUCUGAACCGACCGCCUGGUCCUCUGAGAUAGCUAUACCGCAAUGCAUUUGCCAUCUCAUUUGUUGUUAUGUUCCUAGAGAUCUGCAUAAAAAGAAGAAACAAUUAGGAAGGCUUGGUCUCCAUCAACAAAAACUACUAGAGACAAGAAAAGCAAAUUUGCUGAUACAAGAAUGCACCAUAACAUUAUUCUGGAAGCUUGCAACUAUGGCACUAAUAAUUAGACACAAUGAACUUUGAUGCACAUAAUUUAUCAGAACCAUUCCUUGCUGGGUGAUGAAGCUUACAAAUGAAAAUUUCCACCCAUCAGCACAUAUUAGGAUCCAAGACUAGGCCCAGUCAAAUUCUAUUUUCAAUGAACUUGACCCACUUUUGAUUUGCGACUUUCUAGCUCUGAUAUGUUAAUUCUUUUUUCCCUAAUUUAUGCUUGCAUUGUUUAAUUUGUUUUUGAAGUUACAAUUUCUUUAAAAGCAUGCUUAAUCAAAAUCCUGCAUAUUCAUAGAUUACCAGGGAAGAAGAUUGUAUUCUCACAAAUAUUUGGAAUUAGCAGCAGAUUUAAAACAGAUGGGCAAAUGGGAAACGGGUAAACAACAAUAUCACUCUGAACCAAGAGUCCAGAGAGACAGACAGAGAGAUGCCAAUAAGUAAUGGAACGUAAUAUUCUAAAGUAAUUACACAGUUCAACUUUAAUAUCAUAAAAAACCAAAUUGAAAGAUAAUUUGUGAUCCAAACUCGGAAGCAUAAGAAUGUGCAAAUAGAACCAUGCCACAGAAUAUUCGGUACAUCAAUCAUUAAGUAAGCCAAAAGAAUAAAAAUAAAUAUACAAAAUCAUGAAACUUAAAAUGUGCUGCUUCCAAUUGGAAAAAAGAACUGCAGCAUUAAAACUUUUAUGACACCACUGCAUGCCAUUUCAAAAUGCAUAAGAACGGCAGUACGCCAAAUUAAGCAUUUAUCAAAAAGCUAAAGAAAAUAUGCACACCUGUGAUGCUUGUACAGCUGUUAAAACUGCAACUCCAAAGAUAAGAAAGAAGUCCAUCAUCAGAAAUGAUAUGGCUCCGGGAUGGUAAGUAGCAGAAUGGCUCAGCCAUGAACCAAAAGAUGUUGGAGCAGUUGGAUCUUUUACUAUUCCUACAACACAAAAUUAGUUUCCUUUCAAUGCAAGUGGAAGUGGAACAUUGGCACAAUUUAAAAAGGAAAAAGUUUUAAAAGAACAAACUUCAUUAACACAUACUAAUUAUGGUUACUGCACCAGUAACAAUCAUAGCAGAAACUUCUAGAAUGAGAAACAUGAAGAAAUCCCACUUGUUUCUCUGCAAUUACAAGUUAUCAUUUAUUUAAUAAUAAAAAGAGGCACAGUAUAUGGAGCAGGAGAAAAACCGUGUGCCUCUGGAUAGAUAAGAGGCACAGAAAAGGCUAGACAGAAAGAAACAGAGAAGCAAGUCAUGAGUGUUGAAGCACCUUGCCAAUACAAUUUGAUACCCAAGGACAGUGAUGAUCAAACUGCUCAACACAGCGAUCACAAGUGGAACAAUGCUUUGCACGCAGAGGCCUGACAAUCUAGGAGAUAUUCAAGCAUAAGCUGAAUGAGAAAUUUAGAGUACAAAUGCCAAUGGGCAGAAAAUAUCCUUAAAAUUACAAUAUAUGGAAAACAUACCUUGCACGUUGCACAGAGCUGGGACCAAUUUCCAGAUAGCAGAGCAGGAUUAUUUAGUUCCAUCUUUAGUAAAGGCUCCUGUAGGCAAAAAUAUAGAAAUCAGUAAUUUAGGUCUUGUUUGGCAUCAUUGUUUUUUUGUGUUUUUGUUUCUCUAUGAAUUAGUGAAAUACCAGAUGGAGAUUGAUAUUGAAGUGGAGUUUGUAUAGAACUUCUACUAUUCCUUGUGAUUUUUCAAUCUUUUUUGAAAUCAAUAAAUCCUUGCUACCAUAACUCUGAAGGUUUUACAAACAAUUUCAAGAAACAAAGUUAUAUAUUCAGAUUAGUUCAUAUUUCUUCUUGGAUUUUCGAAAACAAAAGCAAUACCAAAUGGGCCUUCAAUAAUUAUUGCCUUGAGGAUUAAAGAUUGAACAACCAAUCAAUUACAUUAUUAUAUAAAAUAACAGCUUGUAUCAGUAUCUUCUUUUAUGUGCUAAAAUUCAGAUUUCCCAAGAUAAUGAUAAAUGCUCCAGCAGCAGCCAGGAGUAUGCAAAAUGUGAUUUUCUUUUCACAAUUGAGAGAAAACUACAUAAUUUAGGAUUUACUUUGAGCUACCAUAAUUACAAUAUCAGCAACACAGCUAACACCAGAUAUCAAGAUAGAGGCAACUAAUACCACAGAUAAAUGUGGAUGGCCAAAGAAUCCUUGUAAAGAAAGCAUCAAGAUAGGAGUAAGAAAGUUACGAGAAGAUGAGGAAAUUUGGAAUUCCCCAAGAUAAAAUCAAUAUACCAUAAUUAUCAAGUUUCAAAACCAAUCUGCUCAAGCCUUUCCCCUAGCUACAUAAAUAGAUCCCCAACAAAACUAACUCAAGGGAACUUCUUGUCAGACUUUAGAUCUAACUAAAAGGAUUCCUACUUGGAAUAUUAAAAGACUGAGUAUGUUCAUCACAAAAUUGCAACUGUAAUAUUGGCCAGUUUUUGACUUUCACACGUUGGGAUUUGGCCAAGAGCUAUGAAAUAUCAAUUGUAGAUAUCAAAGAUAUUUUUCCAACAAAACGAUGAUCAUCAGAAUCCAAUAUUUUUGCUAAAAGGUAUGUUCAAUCUAGCAGACCUUCAGAUCAUUGAUACAUCACCAACUUUGUUGGUUUUGAUGGUGCAAAGUUAAAGAGAAAAAAAAAAAAACUCAAUUGUUAUCCAGCAUAAAGAAUUGCCUUUUCUUACAUUAUGUUGCAAAAUAAAAUGAAGAAAUUCUUUAAUUUAGUGAAAACAAGAUAUACAAUAAAAUAAAAAACGGUCAUAUAUCGAGAGGUGGACUAAAACCCGGUCAAGUAGAUCUCAACUCAGGUCCGGUCAAUCCUAAUUGGACAACAGGGUCUAGUAUCGAUGGUUCGAACUGUUGGAUGUGAUCCACUACUCCUAAAUUGCUUAACCACCAAAAAUCAUGUAAUUUAGAGAUCCCUAGUCUAUAAAUCGAAUGAACGAAAAAUUGAUAGUUUAAAUAACACGAAACAAUGCAUUUGUUUGACCACUUAAUGCAUAGCCUAUGGGUCUCCAAAUCAUAUAACUUUUGGCAUGUAAGCAGUUUAGAGAAAGUCGAUAACAUCCACUGGCUAGAAUCAUCGAUGUUGGACCCCCUCCCCUCCCAAAGCAAUGCUAACUCUAUAAUACCAAUCUUGCACCUACAUAUUUUGUUUCUAAACCUUUCUUUCCAUCCACUUCAUUAAUAUUCUAUUGAUCACCUCAUCUCUCUUAAUACCUCCUCAUAUACAAAAAGGAAAAAUGAUAAAAUCACUAUCAAAAAAUUCCAUAACCAUCAUUAUUAAUAAGGUCUAAGAGGUUUCACAAAAAGAUGAUAGUGUUGACAGCUAUGUUACUUGGGUAUGGUUACAUGUCUAACCGUAGGAUCCUUUUAGUCAUUAAGAAUUUCUUCUUGCACAUCCAUACCCAAGUGUCACACCCAGGGUCGACGGAACCGUCCCGAACCGGGCGGUUCUAGCCGUACGAAGCCGUUCCGGCGGCAGACCGGGACGGUUCCGACAACAGAAACGAAACCCGUUGCUAGAGAAGGAGAAGAAGGAAAGAAAGGAAAAGUGAGAACGAGCAGGGAAGAGAGGGAAAGGGAGAGGGAGGGAGAGAGGAGGGUGGCGGAGGCCGGCGUCCGGGCAGGAGGCGAACGUCGCAAACAGGUCCCCCUCCUUCGUUCGAAAUAAGAGUUCAGCCGUUUUUUAAUUUUGCGAUUUUUAAGAAAAUUGGCAAAUCAUUUGUUAACUUCACUUAAAUAUCGUGAAUAAAAAAAGGUGUGAUUUGCCGACUUCACUUAAAAAUCGCAAAAUUAAAAGCGGUCAAAGCCCCGUUUCAAACGAAAUAGGGGACCCAGUCGCGGCCUCCGCCUUUUGCCCGGGCGCCGACCUCCGCCGGCCCUUCGCCACCCUCCUCUCUUCCUCCCUCUCUCCCCCUCCUCUCUCUCUUUUCCUCUCUCCCAUUCACCCUCUCUCCUACCUCCUCUACUGUGUCGGUACAAGCCCGGCACGGCAUGGUGCAGGCCCAUACCGACCCAUGCCGCCGGGCAACCGAUCCGGUGCUCGGUACUAGCACAGCAUAUCAUGGUCACACCCCUACCCAUUUCUAAGUGUUGGGUGCAAGAACUCUGCAGUAAGCUAAAGGGUAUGAGUUACUCAGGUCAGCAGCAAAGAUGAGGUGACAAACAAAUCCUUGCAUUUCCAAGCAUGUUAUUAUUUAGGCUAUUUCUUUGGCAAAGUGGCUCAAAGCACCCUUAAAUAGGUUAUUUUAAAAUUUACAAAUAUCCAUGAGAAUGAAUUCCGGCACAUUAGGUAACAUAAUUAAAAAACAAGCUCUGCUUAACAUACAUUAUGAUUCAAUCUCACAUUUAUAGCUUCAAAACUUUCCAAUGAAACGUUCAAUAUGUAUUAGAAUAUAAACCAACAUAGAUGGAAAAUGCAUGAUCUAACAUGGGAUAAAUCUUUUAAAUCUCCUUGUGUUCAAAUAGAGACAUGUUGGCAGGAACAUAUCAACAAACUAACAAAGAGAAUCUUACUUAAUAAAGUUGUGUUACAUCACAUAAGGUAUAAAAACAACAAGCUAUCUUAAAGUACAUUUGCCUCCGACUGCAUGCUGCACUGCAUAAGAGAACUUUAUAGUACAAUGUGGAGUCACGUAUUCGUGAAUUGUUUUCUAUCAUAAAGUGUUUCAUUCUUUUCUCUUGAACGCAGAAAGAAA
rnacentral:lncRNA from 1 species